rnacentral:rRNA from 1 species
UACGUAGGGUGCAAGCGUUAAUCGGAAUUACUGGGCGUAAAGCGUGCGCAGGCGGUUUUGUAAGUCUGACGUGAAAUCCCCGGGCUCAACCUGGGAAUUGCGUUGGAGACUGCAAGGCUGGAGUCUGGCAGAGGGGGGUAGAAUUCCACGUGUAGCAGUGAAAUGCGUAGAUAUCGGAAGGAACACCAGUGGCGAAGGCGGCUUCCUGGACUAAUACUGACGCUGAGGUGCGAAAGCGUGGGGAGCAAACAGG